rnacentral:rRNA from 1 species
UACGGAAGGCAGCAGGUGGGGAAUAUUGCACAAUGGGCGAAAGCCUGAUGCAGCUAUGCCGCGUGUAUGAAGAAGGCCUUAGGGUUGUAAAGUACUUUCAUCGGGGAGGAAAAAACAAAACUAAUAAUUUUAUUUCUUGACGUUACCCGAAAAAGAAGCACCGGCUAACUCCGUGCCAGCAGCCGCGGUAAUACGGAGGGUGCUAGCGUUAAUCAGAAUUACUGGGCGUAAAGAGCACGUAGGUGGUUUUUUAAGUCAGAUGUGAAUCCCUGGGCUUAACCUAGGAACUGCAUUUGAAACUGAAAUACUAGAGUAUCGUAGAGGGAGGUAGAAUUCUAGGUGUAGCGGUGAAAUGCGUAGAUAUCUGGAGGAAUACCUGUGGCGAAAGCGGCCUCCUAAACGAAUACUGACACUGAGGUGCGAAAGCGUGGGGAGCAAACAGGGAUUAGAUACC